AUUGAACGCUGGCGGCAUGCUUUACACAUGCAAGUCGAACGGUAACAGGCCGCAAGGUGCUGACGAGUGGCGGACGGGUGCGUAAUGCAUCGGAACGUGCCCAGUCGUUGGGGAUAACUACUCGAAAGAGUAGCUAAUACCUCAUACGAUCUAUGGUUGAAAGCGGGGGACCGUAAGGCCUCGCGCGAUUGGAGCGGCCGAUGUCAGAUUAGGUAGUUGGUGGGGUAAAGGCUCACCAAGCCAACGAUCUGUAGCUGGUCUGAGAGGACGACCAGCCACACUGGGACUGAGACACGGCCCAGACUCCUACGGGAGGCAGCAGUGGGGAAUUUUGGACAAUGGGCGCAAGCCUGAUCCAGCAAUGCCGCGUGCAGGAAGAAGGCCUUCGGGUUGUAAACUGCUUUUGUACGGAACGAAACGGCUCUGGUUAAUACCCGGGGAUAAUGACGGUACCGUAAGAAUAAGCACCGGCUAACUACGUG
rnacentral:rRNA from 1 species